rnacentral:siRNA from 1 species
CGAAUAAUUUUACAUAAUAUUCA